CAGCCGCCGCGGUAAUACCGGCGGCCCGAGUGGCGGUCACUCUUAUUGGGCUUAAAGCGUCCGUAGCCGGGUUGGGAAGUCCUCCGGGAAAUCUGGCCGCUUAACGGUCAGAAUGCCGGAGGAUACUCCCAGCCUAGGGAGCGGGAGAGGCCGAGGGUAUUCCCGGAGUAGGGGUGGAAUCCUAUAAUCCCGGGAGGACCACCUGUGGCGAAGGCGCUCGGCUGGAACGCGUCCGACGGUGAGGGACGAAGGCCAGGGGAGCAAACCGGAUUAGAUACCCGGGUAGUCCUGGCUGUAAACGAUGCGGACUUUGUGUCGGACAAGCUAUGAGCUUGUCCGGUGCCGGAGGGAAACCGUUAAGUCCGCCGCCUGGGGAGUACGGCCGCAAGGCUGAAACUUAAAGGAAUUGGCGGG
rnacentral:rRNA from 1 species